UACGUAGGGUGCGAGCGUUAAUCGGAAUUACUGGGCGUAAAGGGUGCGCAGGCGGUCUCGUAAGCUGGGUGUGAAAGCCCUGGGCUUAACCUGGGAAUGGCAUUCAGGACUGCGAGGCUUUGAGUGUGGCAGAGGGAGGUGGAAUUCCACGUGUAGCAGUGAAAUGCGUAGAGAUGUGGAGGAACACCGAUGGCGAAGGCAGCCUCCUGGGCCAGCACUGACGCUCAUGCACGAAAGCGUGGGGAGCAAACAGG
rnacentral:rRNA from 1 species